rnacentral:rRNA from 1 species
UACAGAGGUCCCAAGCGUUGUUCGGAUUCACUGGGCGUAAAGGGUGCGUAGGCGGUUUGACAAGUCUGAUGUGAAAUCCCUCGGCUCAACUGAGGAACUGCACGGGAGACUGCCGGGCUUGAGUUCGGGAGAGGGAAGCGGAAUUCCGGGUGUAGCGGUGAAAUGCGUAGAUAUCCGGAGGAACACCGGUGGCGAAGGCGGCUUCCUGGACCGACACUGACGCUGAGGCGCGAAAGCUAGGGGAGCAAACGGG